AAUGAACGUUGGCGGCAUGGAUUAGGCGUGCAAGUCGUGCGCGAUAUGUAGCAAUACAUGGAGAGCGGCGAAAGGGAGAGUAAUACGUAGGAACCUACCUUCGGGUCUGGGAUAGCGGCGGGAAACUGCCGGUAAUACCAGAUGAUGUUUCCGAACCAAAGGUGUGAUUCCGCAUGAAGAGGGGCCUACGUCGUAUUAGCUAGUUGGUAGGGUAAUGGCCUAGCAAGGCAAAGAUGCGUAUGGGGUGUGAGAGCAUGCCCCCACUCACUGGGGCUGAGACACUGCCCAGACACCUACGGGUGGCUGCAGUCGAGAUUCUUCGGCAAUGGGCGAAAGCCUGACCGAGCGAUGCCGCGUGCGGGAUGAAGGCCUUCGGGUUGUAAACCGCUGUCGUAGGGGAUGAAGUGCUAGGGGGUUCUCCCUCUAGUUUGACUGAACCUAGGAGGAAGGGCCGGCUAAUCUCGUGCCAGCCGCCGCCGUAA
rnacentral:rRNA from 1 species